GGGCCCGUAGCCUAGCCUGGACAGGGCGCAGAGCAAAAGCCUGAGGUCGAGGGUUCAAAUCCCCCCGGGCCCGCCA
rnacentral:tRNA from 1 species